UUGCUGGGGUUUAGGUUUAAUUGGUUUUGAGUGUAAAACCCUAAUUCAAAAUCUUCCUCAUCUUUGCCCUGCAUUUUGCAUUCUAGUUCUGUAGAAUUUCUCUAAAGCCCUAAAUUUCGCUACAGGAAUUGGCGCUCUCACUCUCCCACACCAUGGUGUGUUUGUCGGUAUCUAAUGCUUCUGUAGCAGUCAAUUCCACCAUGUUUGAUUGUAGUAACUGCAGAAGCUGUGAAUCCAAAAGCAUAUCCGUUGGCAGAUGCGAAGCUGAUCACUACUAUACUUGAUUUGGUUCAACAAGCCGCCAACUACAAACAGCUCAAAAAGGGUGCCAAUGAAGCUACGAAGACGCUGAACCGUGGGAUUUCUGAAUUUGUUGUAAUGGCAGCUGAUGCUGAACCUCUUGAAAUCCUCCUUCACCUUCCGCUUCUUGUGGAAGAUAUGUAGUUAUUUGUUGUCGCAGUUGUGGUUUUUGUGAUGGAAUUAUGCAAAUAGUUGUGUUAUACUAUUUGUUCAUAGCAUUGAGCAGUGACUCCCAACUUUUGAUUUUUAGUGGCUGAACUCAUGCUCUGUGUGUGUGUGUUUAAUUAAUUGCUGGAAAUAUACGUAGUAUCGAGCUAUUAGAUUUAGGAUAUUUGUUCUCGAACUAACAGAUAAUUAUUGCAUGAGAACAUUGUACUCUGGAGAAUGUAUCAGAACCUCUGUUUGCCAUCUGCAGCAUACAUCAAUCUUUAAGACUUACUAGUAAUUAGUGGAGCAGUAAUAAUGUAAAGAACAACAUUCCAUUUCAUGAACUUCAUUUUUUUUAUAUUUUGCCUGUGUUAAUGCUCUUUCCAGUUGGUCACUAUUUAGGUUUCCAGAUCGUUAUUGUUCUUGUUAUGAUGAAUAAAAGCUGCUAUAAUCUUAGUAGGAUCUAUAUUAUCGGUCUGUAGUUAUCAGUAUUUCUCGGUGUUCCCACUGUCCUAUUUCCCAUGGGGAAAUAAAACUGUAGCAUGGCCAAAUAGAGCAUUUUAUCACUUGUCUUCUGCAACACUAUGCUUAACUACCAAUUGUGUCCGCAGAAUGUGCCGUAUGUUUUUGUUCCAUCCAAGCAAGCUCUGGGCCGAGCAUGUGGAGUGACCAGGCCAGUCAUUGCUUGUUCUGUCACCAGCAACGAGGGAAGCCAAUUGAAAUCUCAAAUACAGCAGUUGAAGGAUGCUAUUGAGAAGCUUCUGAUCUUUGGAACAGAUUAUCUAAAUUAGCUUUAUCGAAAGGGACACUUAGUUUUACCCCUAAUCCGAGAUUAACAACGGUAAAAGGGCGAAACCAAAGCACUAGAAUAGGCCCGAAUUUCAGAUAAUGUUUAAAAAGAAGAAAGGAAGAAAAAACAAAUUGGUGAGGUGGGGUGUAGCAGUGAUUGAAGGGCCUUCUAAGCAUGUUCAACGGAUAGCUUAAAGACAAAGCAUCCAACCAUUUUAUUUUUUGUUGUCUUUGAAUAGACAUACACACAUGCUUAUAUCUAUAAAUACAUGUGCUAGAAUAUCUACAUGAUUGAUGUUCUUGAACAAAUAUUUUCCUUUUCUCUCUCUAAGUCGUGUUUCAUGCA